CGGAGGAAGGUGGGGACGACGUCAAAUCAUCAUGCCCCUUAUGUCUUGGGCUUCACGCAUGCUACAAUGGCCGGUACAAAGGGUUGCGAUACUGUGAGGUGGAGCUAAUCCCAAAAAGCCGGUCUCAGUUCGGAUUGAGGUCUGCAACUCGACCUCAUGAAGUCGGA
rnacentral:rRNA from 1 species